UACAGAGGGGGCGAGCGUUGUUCGGAAUUACUGGGCGUAAAGGGCGCGUAGGCGGCCUGCUAAGUCGGACGUGAAAUCCCUCGGCUCAACCGGGGAACUGCGUCCGAUACUGGCGAGGCUUGAAUCCGGGAGAGGGAUGUGGAAUUCCAGGUGUAGCGGUGAAAUGCGCAGAUAUCGGGAGGAACACCAAUGGCGAAGGCAGCUCGCUGGGACGUUACUGACGCUGAGACGCGAAAGCGUGGGGAGCAAACAGG
rnacentral:rRNA from 1 species